rnacentral:rRNA from 1 species
AUGGGUAGGAAAUGCAAAAUACCAAAAAAAUUAGUUGUACCUACUAUCCCAAUGGUUGAAGAACCAUUCGAAAUCUAUCACACUCUUGAAGCUUUUUACUUGGAUCAUCUUCGAUCCCUAUGUGCUCGUGCUGAAACUCCAACUAGCUUAGUUGAGGGCAAAUCUUUAGAUGAGCAUGCUUGUUAUGUGGGACACCGCUUAUCUCAAAAACGGAAACUUUUACUGGAUCAAAUUCAUCGUUUGCAAUGCUAUGCUUGGAAUUUAUGUGCAAUAUGUGAUUUUACUUGUUGUUCUGAAGACCCUAAGAAACACCUUCCCUACCAAUGUGAGUUUAGUGAUAAUGGAAUCGUAUCUUCGUAUGCUAAGGGUGUUUAUAAUUACUAUGAUGUUCAACAAAUUGAAGAAUUUGUUGCUUUUAAGGGUGCUUAUGAAAUUGCUUCUUUGAUUGUAAAGUAUGAUGCUACUCUUUACAAAUCUGGAAAUUUUGCAAUACUUAAAUAUUGUUAUGAUAAUUAUGCUUCUAAUGCCUAUGUUAAACCAUAUACUGAGGACUCCUCUGCUGUCCAAGAAGAGACUAAUAUUUUGCAGGAGUCUAUGGAAGAAGGAAUUGAUGAAACUGUUAGCUCAUUGGAUGAAAAAGAUGAUGAGGAGAGCGAAGAACAAAAGGAGGAAGAGCGGAUUAGCUACCCGUGCCCACCUUCUAAUGAGAGUAACUCUUCAACUCAUACAUUGUUUAAUUUCCCUUCAUGCUUACCGAAGGAUGAUUGCUAUGAUAAUGGCUAUGAUCCCUUUGAUUCUUUUGAAACAUCCCUUUUUGAUGAUGCUUGCUAUGCUUGUGGCCAAGAUGCCAAUAUGAAUUAUGCUUAUGGAGAUGAACUUGCUAUAGUUCCUUAUGUUAACCAUAAAAUUGUUGCUAUUGCACCCACGCAUGAUAGUCCUAUUAUCUUUUUGAAUUCUCCCGACUACACUAUAUCGGAGAAGUUUGCCCUCAUUAAGGAUUAUAUUGAUGGGUUGCGUUUUACGACUACACAUGAUGGUUUUGAUAGAUAUAAUAUGAAUGUGCUUGCUGCUCCUACUUGCAAUUAUUAUGAGAGAGGAACUAUAUCUCCACCUCUCUAUGUUUCCCACACGAUAAAAUUGCAAGAAACUGUUUAUACUAUGCACUAG